rnacentral:lncRNA from 1 species
GCUCCCUGAGCUGUCUGAAAGUGACCCAGAGAUGACAAGGUCCUUCCUAUCAGACUCUGAGGCCCUGUGGAGGACAGUAUUUCUCCAAGUCCUCCAAAUGCCUCCCUGCUCCCUAUGUGUCAGCCCCCCUUUGAGUCCAUCAAGGAAACACACUUUGAGUCGGGCAACCAGCUUUGCAUUAUUCCCCACAACACCGCACGUCUCCAGCCUUUGUUUUAUGUCACCUGACUUCAGGUAAGAUGGAGAAAAAAGUAGGGAACAUUGCAGAACACACUAGAGAGAGGGCACCUGCAUAAAGACGGCCUGCCCACCACAAGACAUUGGCUUUUACAUUCGCUCUCCAGUGAUGACCGCAGCCCAGCUCUCCAGAGGCCAACCCCCGGGACUCUGGGAAUCUGCACGUCCAGUAAUCCAGCCAUGUGCCUGCAUGCUCAGAGUUCUACUUCUGGAGAACCCCAAGGCCAUAUGAACCCCAAUGGCCUGUCCUACAACGUGGGCUUUGGGCUGGCUGGGUCGACUGAAGGUGACCCUGAUAUUUGGAAGGCAGAACACUUUCUCUUUUACCAGGUGUUCUAAUUGAGACUCGAGGGUCAGCUGUGGCCUGUAUGUGACCACUUUUUAAUGGACAUUUCCUGGGGGAUCAUCUGGCUACAGAGCUGUGUGAAAGCCACCCACAGGUGGAAAGGGCAGGACAAGUCCUUCCAACCAGGGGCCAGAGGUCUCUCUCAGACUCUCCUGUGACUCUCCCUCCUCCUCCCUGCCCAUCACCACUACCCCAUGUCGUCCGGCUGAUCCCACUUCAGUUCAGCUCACCACCUGUAAAUACAUCUGGCUGCCUGAAUACAUGCAACCUAUUUCUCGCCAUCGUUCAUUUUCGUGGGUUACUUGUAGCAAGCCAUGGCUCAGUUAGGAAAAAGAUAGGAAACAUAGGGAGGAAUUUGAGACUUAGACCCAGGAAAGAGCACAUCCUGCACAGCCAAAAAUGCCGCUUCUACACCUCUCCAUUCAUGUCCUCAAGCACUGCUUUCCAGGUGCCACCCCCAACCAAAGCCCCCUUCUCUAAACCAGAUAUGCCCAAUGCUCAAGACAAGUACCUGUGGAUUCAGGGUUAUACUGCUGGAGAAACCAAAGGCUAUUGGUCAAACCACACCUGCUCCCCCGAUAGACUGUCAAAUCAUCGGCACUUAGGGCUCCGUGACCCCUAUGGAAAUGACCACCUGGUCAUGAUGGAAGAACUACCCAUCCACCCCCAGAGGAUGUGUUUGGGACCUGAGAGUCAGAAGCAGCUGUAACUCAACUUUCCUCACUGGGAGGUCCCUGGGGUGCCACCAGCACCACCUACAACCCCAUCUCUAACCCUGGAAGGGCCAACACUAAGCAGCAUCUUGGUAUGUCGGAGCUCCUCGACCUCUAGUGGCUAUUCCCACUCCCAGCUAUUCUCAUCCCAAACUUCUGCCUCCUGACCAGACCCAGUUCCGUUGGCACUGCUCUUGAGCACCUGAGAGCCUGGCUUGGUCCUCCUGUUGCUUCACUCUCUCAGAAUCAUCUACGGCCAUCCAUAGAGGGUGGUAUUUCAUUAAGUCUUCCAUGUGCCUCCCUGCUCCCAAUCUGUCAGCACUCUCUUGAGCACCUGUGAGCCAGAUCUGGUCUUUCUCUGUCUCUCAGAAAAAUAAAAGAGCAUGUGGAAGGUAGUAUUUCUCCCUC